AUUGAACGCUGGCGGCAGGCCUAACACAUGCAAGUCGAGCGAGCGGCGGACGGGUGAGUAAUUUCUGGGAAACUGCCUGAUGGAGGGGGAUAACUACUGGAAACGUUAGCUAAUACCGCAUACCAUCAGAUGUGCCCAUAUGGGAUUAGCUCGUAGGUGGGGUAAUGGCUAACCUAGGCGACGAUCCCUAGCUGGUCUGAGAGGAUGACCAGCCACACUGGAACUGAGAAACGGUCCAGACUCCUACGGGAGGCAGCAGUGGGGAAUAUUGCACAAGGGGCGAAAGCCGGAUGCAGCCAUGCCGCGUGUAUGAAGAAGGCCUUCGGGUUGUAAAGUACUUUCAGCGGGGAGGCGUUACUGGCAGAAGAAGCACCGGCUAACUCCGUGCCAGCAGCCGCGGUAAUUC
rnacentral:rRNA from 1 species